AUUGAACGCUGGCGGCAGGCUUAACACAUGCAAGUCGAGCGGAGAUGAGGUGCUUGCACCUUAUCUUAGCGGCGGACGGGUGAGUAAUGCUUAGGAAUCUGCCAUUUAGUGGGGGACAACAUUCCGAAAGGAACGCUAAUACCGCAUACGUCCUACGGGAGAAAGCAGGGGAUCUUCGGACCUUGCGCUAAGGGAUGAGCCUAAGUCGGAUUAGCUAGUUGGUGGGGUAAAGGCCUACCAAGGCGACGAUCUGUAGCGGGUCUGAGAGGAUGAUCCGCCACACUGGGACUGAGACACGGCCCAGACUCCUACGGGAGGCAGCAGUGGGGAAUAUUGGACAAUGGGCGGAAGCCUGAUCCAGCCAUGCCGCGUGUGUGAAGAAGGCCUUUUGGUUGUAAAGCACUUUAAGCGAGGAGGAGGCUACUGAGACUAAUACUCUUGGAUAGUGGACGUUACUCGCAGAAUAAGCACCGGCUAACUCUGUGCCAGCCGCCGCGGUAAUAC
rnacentral:rRNA from 1 species